GAGGCUUUGGCUUAAAGAUAAAGUGUCUGAGUUGCAAUCAGAAGAUGUAGUGCUAAGAUACAGGCCUUC
rnacentral:tRNA from 1 species